rnacentral:rRNA from 1 species
UCAGGUGGCCGCAGAGAAUAGGCCCAAGCGACUGUUUACCAAAAACAUAGGUUUCUGCUAAGUCGCAAGACGAUGUAUAGGAGCUGACGCCUGCCCGGUGCUGGAAGGUUAAGGGGAUCUGUUAGAGCAAUCGAAGCAGUGAACUUAAGCCCCAGUAAACGGCGGCCGUAACUAUAACGGUCCUAAGGUAGCGAAAUUCCUGGUCGGGUAAGUUCCGACCCGCACGAAAGGCGUAACGAUUUGGGCACUGUCUCAACAACAGACUCGGUGAAAUUGUAAUUCCGGUGAAGAUGCCGGAUACCUGCGACAGGACGGAAAGACCCCAUGGA